UGUACACACACCGGACUCAGGAUGUUGACACUGAUGUGGAUUACAGCGUUGCUUUGUGAUAAAAUUGUGGACUCUAUACAGACAAAGGGUGUAAAUCAACCAAACCCUGUGAUCACUGCUGCUGUUGGGGAUAGCGUGACUCUGCACUGCUUUCAACUGGGAGAGCAGAACACUGAUGCGAUCAUUUGGUACAAGCAAAAAGUAGGACACAGGCCUUGUGUAAUGGUUACAGUUUUAGGUGAACCCGAAUACGAAGAUGAGUUUAAGCCACCAAAAUUCAGCAUCAAAAAAGAAACAAAGAGCUGCCAUUUAAAAAUAUCUAAUGUCCAUCCAUCAGAUGAAGCCAUGUAUUACUGUGGAUUUAGAGAUUUUUUAACACAUUUUGGAAAUGGAACGUUUUUAGCAGUAACGGGUGAUGAAGAUGUAAAAGUGUCAGUAUCACAGAGCAGUGUGUUGGAGCGUCAGUGACUCUGCAGUGCUCGGUUCUCUCUGAGAGCAGAGCAGCAGAACUCCAAGUGCUCUGGUUCAG